UCAGGUCUGCUCCCCUGUCUGAUUUCCAUUGCUGGAGUCAGCCCCGAGCUGGCUGCGUGUAAUUUGGCUUCCUUGCAGGGGUGAUGGCCAUGGGUCGGUGCUCAGCUUCCAGGAAGGACCAGGCUGGGUGGAGAGCCAUGCCGAGAGGGUGGCCAUUUUAACGAGGGAUUUCUUUGUGCUUUUUUUUAAUUAACCUUUGUUUUCUGUCAAGAAAGCUGUCCCGAGGCAUGACUUAGCAAGGCAAACAUGCCUGGACAAAGGGAGCAUUAAGCCUGCACAGAGGGAGGGGAGAGGGUUACACCUCUAAUUACUUUGUGUGCCUGUAAUUUUUUUCCCCUCUGGUGACUGAUGGGUCAUGAAAGGACUUGCCGGGGCUGGUGUGUGAUUCACUGGGGCAGAGCAUGUUCCCGGCUGAUGCUGAGGGCUGUCUGGGUGCCCAGGGCACGCAAUGCCAUCGCGCGGGUGUUGCUCACGCCUGAGUCAGCGCUUGUGCUGGGGAUUGGGCUGUGGGAAGGAGAUGGUCCUGAGCUGCCUUCAGGUGUCCCUUCCCCUAAACAAGGACACAAGCGGGGACAAUGAGUAUGGGGCUCUGCCACCUUCCCAAUGGGCAGCAGUCUCCAAACUGCCUGACCUGCCAUCCCAUCCCAUCUUCUGGUCCUCACAUCUACUCGUGGAGCUCAGGGUAGGCAUCUGUGCCCUCCUGAACCAAAUGGGGUCAGAGGUUGGCCAGGAGGGGAGUUAGGGCUCAUGGUGUUCAUGUGGGAAGCAAGAAAAGGGAGGAAGGGGAACUGGGGCAGGAGUGGAGGUAGGUAGAAAAUAACCAGUUGUGGGGCCGGAGUUCUGGGGCAAGGAGGAGAAGCUGGGGCUGCCCAGGAGAGGGGAAGGACUUGCGGAGUAGUCUGCGGACCUGGCCUCAAGGCCAACGGGUUCGGAGGGCUUGGCAGGGAGCUGGGGAUCUGCAUUUUAGGCAAACGGUGUGAUGUGGAAUUCAAGGAGCUCCAAACUCAGUGGGGUUAGCUCCUAAAGAUCCCGCUGAAGAGAAUAACAUUUUGUCAGCCUGAUUUCGGCAAAGCUUUUGAAUCCAUUGACCAGCUCUGUGCCAGUGGGGUGGUGCUGAGGUCUGAUCACUUCCUCCCUGAAAGUUUGGUGGAAAUACCUGGUCAGGUAGAGGAGAGAGGCCCUGUUAGUGUCUGUUUGGAGGGACAGGCUGCAGUGUGGGCUCAACUACCAUAUGAGACAUCAGAACAUCCACAUGGGUGCUAGUGACCAAGAUGAGUUGCACUAUUUCUGCCAUGGCUGGCUAUCCUUCUGGGAAACAACACACUUGUUGCACCAAAAAAAAGUUCAGGGGUGGCCUCCAUCCCCUUCCUCUCACACCUGAUUUCCUUCUCAAACCAGGUAAAAUGCUCAGGCUCCCCCUGGUCCCCCCUAGGGAUUUGCUGCCCUUGAGGAGGGUUUUCUUUUUUUUUUUUUCUGUCGCUGGGAGGAUGCUGUCAGCAUUUUGGCAGGGUUUGGAGUGGCUGCUGGUACCGCACAGCGUUGGGACCCUCCUGUGCAUUGAUGUUCCAGGUUUCCUUCCUAUAACUUGAGGCUUCCACAGGUUUUGUGAAUGCCACUCCGUAACUUGAGUCGAUCCUGCUGCUGUGACUCUUUCCCCUGCUUUUCCCUUCAUUUCACCAAUUUUUCUUUCUUGCUGGGAGAUGAUCCCACAUUCUAAUAAACCUCACUUCAUGUUUUAGAGAAAAUAUUUGUCAGCAGAUUUUCCCUCCUCCCCUAUGAAUAUCUUGCAUUGUUUUCAUUAAUUUGUCUCCAGCAGAAGGGAAUGAGCGUCUUUGCCGUUUUGAACAAAUUCCUCACCCAGCCAGCGUGGGGAAAUCUGUCUCCAGUGUCACCCGUUUGGCAGGGGGAGAGCUGUGGGAACUGAAGUAUGGAAGCUCAGUUGCAUCCUACAGAUUGCAACAGGGCUAUGAGGAGGUCUUUUUUAAGGAGAGAGGAAAAAAAAAAUCCAACCAAACCUGUCUGGGGGUCCUUUCAUUAAGCAGAGCCGAGGGACUGCAGCAAACUACCUCUUUUACAGGAAUCCCUUUUGGCUUGAAAGGAAUUAUUCAGGCAGUUACGCAAUCCAUGUUGCGUUUUCAAUUUGUCACAGUUUCUCCCCUACCCCCACUUUGUCCACCGGCCCAACCGGGCUCCUGCUGGGUCCCUCCACUGACCGAUGUGCGUUAGAAAAAGCCCUAACACGUAUGUACAGUCCCGAUCCGGCAGCCCUCGUGCACUGGGAUCUCUGCUUGGAGCAAGUGCCUGUGGCGCGGCUGCAGGUCGAGAGUCCCUCCCAGUGUAAGGUUACCCCCGCCAGGAGGGAGAGCCGUCAUUUUUCAGCACGAAUUCUUUCCUGAAAGGCUGCGGUUGCCUGGUGUCUCGGCUUCCCUCUGUGGAUCCGUGUGGGAAAGCCGCUAGCAUUUCUCAGCUGUUUGCAUUCCUUGCAGGAGGAAACCUCAGAGGCUGAGGUCUUUGGUCCUUUGGAGUCGUAACCUGAACGUGGCUGCGGAGCAAAGGUACUGGGGAAAGCUCAGGACCUUUGCUGCAGUAAUGCUGGCUCCGAUGGGCGAUGGCUGAGCUUGGUGUUUUAUCUUACUCAAGCAGUUUCAGACGCCGGAUGGAGUGGUUUGCUUGCACUGCUGUAGCAUUGUCCUGGAAAAAAUGAUUCCUCCUGGCCACGCUGCGCUGCCGCGGGAGCACCUGAUGGCCAUUGUCCCUCCUCGUGCUCCUCCAAGAGGAGAGCAGGAUCUGAGCUGCAGGCGAUGCCCGUCAGCAUGGGCAGUGCCCACAUGCACGCAGGCUGAUUCAUGGUGGUGAUGCAAAACAGCUGAACUGCCAGGGGAUGGGGCAACAGGGAUUUUUUCAUCCUGCUCCUCCCAUUCAGUACUUUGCAAGGAUCAGUGGAGGGAAUGGGUGUUCCAUCUUUGGAGAUGCACCAAGGUGGUGGCACAUGGAGACCUCAGAUGGGUGCACACUUCCUGGGGCUGUGGUCGGGAGUCAGAACUAAAAAGAAAACAGAAGAAAGCCAACUAAACCUUUCCCCAGACUGCUUUUGCUUCUCUCUUUGUAGCAGCUUGGGCCUUGAAUACAACACCCCCCACGUUUCCCCAUGCCUCUUACUAAUUCCUCCUGCUUCAACAAGUGCUCGAGCCCCAGCUGCUGAGCAGCAGCCCUGGGCUGUGGUUCAGCCCCCACCCCUCCCUGGGGCUGUGGACGUGCCAGUGCCUGCAUCCCUGUGCUGUGUCCUCCAGCCUGACACAGCUUUUUCCUUUCUUGCUCGUUUUUGAGGGGCUUGGGCUGGGGAUGGGAUGUGUUUUUCUUAGGUAUGUGAGCCUUGACAAUGUUCCUCAAAUUAUUCUGACCCGAGGAGAACAAAUCUUGCAAGAGUACUUGAGUUGUGAACUAGUUUGGUCUCUUGGGUGACACAUCACGGGGGCAAAUAUUGCUCCUUGCAAACAAGGUUAGUUGGAGUCAGGCGGUGUCUCACCUGGAGAAGGUGCACCUGAAUUCCUCCUUUGUGCUGAGUUAGCCCAUACCCCAGCCAGUGGCA